rfam:Salmonella enterica subsp. enterica serovar Enteritidis str. LA5, WGS project CAGR02000000 data, contig: Scaffold03-Contig1
UGGCUGCGAAAAGAGUUUUAAUUUUUAUGAGGCCGCCAGAUAUUACGGCCUCAGGCGACAGGCACAUGACGGAGAGAGAUUAUGUUUGAA